AAGCAAGUAUUUCUACCCUACUCCUCUAGUACCUAUAGAUACUAAAACCUUCUUUAUAUCAUGAUUCAAAUUAUUUGCAAUUACUUUCUUGUGAAGCAUAUCUAGUACUUUUAAACCUUUUGGUUGAACGGAUAACACUUUUGGUAUCGACUCUACACUAUGAUAUGCAUAAAGAAAUUGUUUUAACAAAAUGUUGUUCUGGCUCUUGAAUUACAUGAUAGAACUGCAGAUUGUUUUAAAAAUUAAACUGUUGGGUUGUUUUUGCGUAAGAGGCUCGGGCACCGGCCCAGCGUGAAAGGUGGCUCCUUAAGCCCGGAUUACCGGAAUUCGUAAUAUUUGUCAACCUUGCUGAAUAAGCUUGGUUUAUGGACUAUAGCAUGACUGAUCAUCUGUUAUAGCCAGGUGUCCAAUUAAUUUUAAAGCCCAAUAAAAUUGUGAAUAGUUUAAAAAGAAGUUACCCUGCCUUCAAGAGAUAUUUGCUUAUACAUUCAUUUCUGCAGUUUUAAAUAUUUUCACUUCUUUAUUAUGGCAUUGCUGUACAACAAAUAUCAAUUUCAUUUUGUUAUUCUUGCUGAGCAUUAUUGCUCAUUCUUGCUAUUCCUUCUAACCCUUUUCAGCUAGGAAUAAAGAUGAUUCACUUAAGACUAGGCAAGGAUUGCAAGUGGUUGAGUUUCAAGCAGAUGGACAGGUAGAGUAUUUAGGACGAUGUCAUUAAGACUAGAUGCAGUUGGAGUUCUGCAAUUCAAUUCAGUUGGAAAUUAGAUUUGUUUAUUUGGUUAUCAGCUACUCUUCUUAUCGAGGUUUAGCUGAUAAUGUUGUUUAAUUUGUAAAUAAGAUUUUAUAGUUUUAGUUUCUGAUUUCAAUGCUGUAGCCUGUAUGCGAUCCUGUUUUCAGGGGGUGAAAUUGAUUUUGAAUUAAAGACCUUCUUUUAAAAAAAAAAAAUAUCCAGGUUUAGAAAUACUUGUUUUUACUUUCUUCCAAAAAUACAGGUUUUAAAUUGUUUUUCUUUUAAUGGCUCAAAACUACAGGUUUUAAAUUAUUUUUAUUUACACGUGGCACCAGAUCUAGACCCCCGGAUUUGAGGGAUGUCACAGUUGGUAUCAGAGCUACAGGUUAUAAGUUAUUGAAAUCAGAAUGUAGGUUGUAACUUGUCUAAUAAGAUAGACACGUUAAGUGAAACCUCACAUAUAGGUAAGUUCAGAUUAGUGGUGUAACCUCAUAUAGAGGUAUCGUAAGACUAUUUGGGGAUAGUCCUUCUGAGCAUAAUAAAAUGAAGCUAAACGAUUAUGUUUAAGUGAUUAUGGUUAUAGACACAACAAUUCCUAAUUCUAGUUCUUCCAGUCCCUAGUGGCCUAGUUUAUUGACCAAUUCAGAUUUAUAUCAUUGUAAGAGGGUCAAAGUUAGACCUAUCAACAGAACCUUCAAGCUAGAACCAGUAGAGAUUCUCACACAGUCUAAUGUAUCCUUUAUAGUAUCUUCCAAGUGUUGAGUAUUAUUUGAAGAGUCACCUUUUGAUUCUUGUCAGAGAUAUCUAGAAUUGGUGAAAGAAUAGAGGUGUUAACAAGUCCGAGUUUACAGCUUUGUAUAUAGUUAAGUAGUGAGCGUUAGAGCUACGUAGAGUUUGUGUUAGAUUAUUCGAUCUAGUACUUAUGUGUGAGUUAAGAUGUCAACGCUCUAUGGUGAUGAUUGUAUAAAGUUGGAUAAGACUUUUGACCGACAACGAUAUCAAUGAUGGGAUCUUCAGAGGCUAUUACUAGUCAACGAUAAUAUAUGCAAGUGGUCACUAAAACGUCAAGAAAAAUCACUAGAAUCAGAACGAGUCAUCAAAAGAAUCGAUCAAAAAGACAUCUGUGAGAAUCCUGGCAAUACCUUCCUCAUUGUUGAUAUAUUGAUUUCUUUCCCCAUCAAUGAUUUGUUCUGACAUCACUUUAAAAAAAAAAAAUAUUUGAUAAAGAGUAUAUUUUUACCUUUCACUCGAGUUCUCGAAUGAUACUUGUGCUUACUGUCACACCUAUAGAAUCUAUUCAAUCUUGGUAAUUUCGAACCCUUUCAUAUUCUCUACUCUAACUGAGAUGAACAACCCUACCUAUAGGGGACACAAGGACUACCUGUCUGUGUGAUAGGAGUUGGAUGGGACGCCAUCACUUGUGUGUGUUGUACAUUACAAGAAGGUUAACUACCUUUAGUAGUGUCUUAAAUUAGACACGCAACACCGAGUUCUAUAGACCAUAUUGAUCUCUCAGUUAUUCAUUUAUUUCAAUCACGUAACACUUGCUCCAAUAUGUGAAAUCUGUCAUAUCUUUUACCUUCAAGAUUCUUCUAAUCUCUAAUAGUUGGAGGUAUGCCAACCGAGUUGCCAAUAUGAAUUAAGACUUUGUAGUAAGAAGCACCAGGGAUGAAAGCGAAUGACAAUGCUGGUUAUAUCAGAAAGGAAUAUUAUGGAUUAUAGAGAUCGUACACUCUAGUUUUCUUUUUGAUGAUUCCGAGGACGGAAUCUUUUUAAGGGGGGUAGAUUGUGACGACCCGGAUUUUCAGAAAUUAUUUUAUUAUUUUUAUUCAUGAUUAUUCGAGACAAAUGAGGAAUAAAUUUCAAUAUUUUAUUCUAGUUUGAUAAUUUUCAAAAAUAUUUGUUUAAAUUAUUUUCCUAGUCAUUGUGAUUAUGAGAAAAUAUCUGUUGAUUGUACAAUUAUAUGUUACGAGAUUUAAUUGAAUUAGUUGUCUACUAUUAUGUCUGUGUGUGCAUUUAUUUUUACUUUUAAUAUUACUGUAUUGUUUUAUUGAAAUUUAUUAUCCUCUUAAAUGGAUAUUUAUUUUUGUAAAAAUACAAAGAUAAUUUCAAAAAUUAUUUUAAUUGCUCGAUAGUGAUCAUAAAUAUGUUUAGAAGUUUUUAAAAUAUUAAAAAUCCAAUUUCUACAAGGACAUGAUUUUUAAUUAGUUUCUAAACGCAGCUAACUUCUUAAUUUUGUAUAAAUUUUGAAAAUGCUCUAUAAAUCUUGAAACUUUUAUUUUAUGAGUUUUAUAAUAUUCGGUAAUUUAUAAAAUUAGUUUGUUAAUUUUUCGAGAAAGUUUUAAUGCGAGUUAUCCCGUAAAUCAACUAAAUAGCGGGUGUUUGGAUGAUUAUUCAGCUUAAAAUAAAACGUGGCAGCCUUUGGCCAAACCACGUGCCCUGCUUUUCACCACCGCCAUCCCUUUUCUUCAUUUUAUAUACAUCAGCCUCUCAAUCUCUCUCUCUCUCUCCCUGUGAAAUCCUCCAUCUCUCCCUCUCCGCUCCUCUUUCUUUUCUCACCCAUCUUCCUCUCUUUCUUGGCAUCACCGUCCCUUCCCUGCAGCCGCCGAAUUAUGCCGCUGCCACCUCUUUCCGGCGACCACCAUAGCCCUGCACCAAUUAUAAAUCAGUGGGUAUAAAGCUUAAUUUCUCUUUGUCAAAUCAGUUCUAUAUAAACGUAUAUAUACAUGUGGUGUUGUGUUUAUAUGGUUUAAAUUGAUUUAUAUAAUCGAUUUAUGUGUGCUUGUAUGUAUAUAAACUGAUUAUAUGCUGGUUAUUGAAAUUUGAAGGUUGAUUGAAUUUUUGAGAUUGAGAUUGGUGUUAGUAAUCGUAUGAUUGAAUUGUGUGCUUAAUUGAUAUUUGAAUUGGUUGUUGGAGGUUCAUUAUAAAUGGUGCGCCAACUAGUAGUGUAAUCGGAUGACUUGGGUACUUGAUUUAUGGGAAUAUAUAACUGAGUAUUAAAGCUUUAAGGUCUGAGAUUUUGUGUAAAUGUUUUCAGAAUGGUGUUUUAAGAGUUUAAGUAUUGGGCUAAAAAAAAUUUAGAUUUACACAUAAUCGGUUGAAUUGUAAGUUGCUGCUGAUCUGUUUUGCAGUAAAAUUCUGGGCUUCUAGAGUCGAAUUAUAUGCUUAAUAUUUUUGUGGUUAUGUGCUCCUCAGAGUCUAGUUUAUGUGCGCAAAAGAAUCGAAUCAAUUCGAUUAGCGAGCUAGGAGAUAUGACCGUUUUAGUAUAGUAUGGUGCUGAAAAUUCUGGGCAGGUUUGUCCUGUUCUAGGCUCUGUUUUACUGCUUUAAACUUGAAGUUUCUUUCUGAAAAUUUUACUGUAGGUUGGAAUAAUAUUCAGGAGUGUCUCAUAAAAAUUUUGUAUUUAAAAGAUAAAUUUUCAAUUUAUUAAAAAUCAUAGACCGAGGGCUGUUUGAACUAUUUGUUCUAGUUUUUCUUUCUUUGCUAGUGCAUAGUAUGAGGUUAUACUUGGCUAAUUGCAUAUGAUUGAUUAUUACAUUGAUUGGCUCGGUUAACCUUUAUAUCUAAUUAAACGUGCUUUGCGUAUAACAAAUUAGUAAUCCUGCUAAAAGAUUUUAUUAUAUGUUCACUACAAGUCAAGACAGAUUUUCUGUUCACUGCAAGCCAAGGGAUCUUUUUUUAUAUUAAUAAUUCAUGUGUUAGCAAUGGUAUUGGUUGGUUGUUGGUAUUGCAAACAGGUGGAUAGUCCGAUAAACAGAGGAGAUGAUGCCGAAUUUUCGUUAGGAAUUAUAUGUAUUUAAUGGCUAUAAAAAGGGGUUAUUUGUGCAAUUAUGUGUUAUGUGUUUAUCUGCCUAUGUGGUAUGUAUAUGCGAAGGGUAGAUAUAUAUAGGUCUUAAUACUUUUCAGAGUUAGUUAAUUUGUCUGAUCCGACGGUUAAAAUACUAUUUUACUAUCGUAUAGAAUUGAAGACAUUGACCGAGGCAUUGAUCGAGAAGUGAUUGAAAUGGGUAUCCAGAAUUAGCCAAGUAGUGUUGCAAGUUGAAGUAGGGCGGAGAUUUGUUAUAGAUAAAAGUUUGUCAGAAGCUGGCAGAAAGGAAUGAUAUGGCGGUAUAUAGUAUUAUUAGAAAUCUGACCUAGACACCGGAGUUAAGGCAAGUACUUCUACCUUUCUCUCGCAAUUUAGAAGCAAGUAUUUCUACCCUACUCCUCUAGUACCUAUAGAUACUAAAACCUUCUUUAUAUCAUGAUUCAAAUUAUUUGCAAUUACUUUCUUGUGAAGCAUAUCUAGUACUUUUAAACUUUUUGGUUGAACGGAUAACACUUUUGGUAUCAACUCUACACUAUGAUAUGCAUAAAGAAAUUGUUUUAACAAAAUGUUAUUCUGGCUCUUGAAUUACAUGAUGGAACUGCAGAUUGUUUUAAAAAUUAAACUGUUGGGUUGUUUUUGCGUAAGAGGCUCGGGCACCGGCCCAGCGUGAAAGGUGGCUCCUUAAGCCCGGAUUACCGGAAUUCGUAAUAUUUGUCAACCUUGCUGAAUAAGCUUGGUUUAUGGACUAUAGCAUGACUGAUCAUCUGUUAUAGCCAGGUGUCCAAUUAAUUUUAAAG
rnacentral:lncRNA from 1 species